UACGUAGGGCGCAAGCGUUGUCCGGAAUUAUUGGGCGUAAAGAGCUCGUAGGCGGUUGUCGCGUCUGCUGUGAAAACCUAAGGCUCAACCUUGGGCUUGCAGUGGGUACGGGCAGACUAGAGUGCGGUAGGGGUGACUGGAAUUCCUGGUGUAGCGGUGGAAUGCGCAGAUAUCAGGAGGAACACCGAUGGCGAAGGCAGGUCACUGGGCCGCAACUGACGCUGAGGAGCGAAAGCGUGGGGAGCAAACAGG
rnacentral:rRNA from 1 species